UACGGGGGGGGCAAGCGUUGUUCGGAAUUACUGGGCGUAAAGGGCUCGUAGGCGGCCAACUAAGUCAGACGUGAAAUCCCUCGGCUUAACCGGGGAACUGCGUCCGAUACUGGAUGGCUUGGAUUUGGGAGAGGGAUGCGGAAUUCCAGGUGUAGCGGUGAAAUGCGUAGAUAUCUGGAGGAACACCGGUGGCGAAGGCGGCAUCCUGGACCAACAUUGACGCUGAGGAGCGAAAGCUAGGGGAGCAAACGGG
rnacentral:rRNA from 1 species